ACGAACGCUGGCGGCAUGCCUAACACAUGCAAGUCGAACGAAGCCCUGACUUCGGUUGGGUGCUUAGUGGCGCACGGGUGCGUAACGCGUGGGAAUCUGCCCUUCGGUUCGGAAUAACAGUUAGAAAUGACUGCUAAUACCGGAUGACGACGAAAGUCCAAAGAUUUAUCGCCGAGGGAUGAGCCCGCGUAGGAUUAGGUAGUUGGUGGGGUAAUGGCCUACCAAGCCGACGAUCCUUAGCUGGUCUGAGAGGAUGAUCAGCCACACUGGGACUGAGACACGGCCCAGACUCCUACGGGAGGCAGCAGUGGGGAAUAUUGGACAAUGGGCGAAAGCCUGAUCCAGCAAUGCCGCGUGAGUGAUGAAGGCCUUAGGGUUGUAAAGCUCUUUUACCCGGGAUGAUAAUGACAGUACCGGGAGAAUAAGCUCCGGCUAACUCCGU
rnacentral:rRNA from 1 species